AACCCAGUGUAUAAGACUUCAUAUAUAUACAUAUGAUAUAUUUUAUACAUGAUAUAUCUUAUAUCGAAUUAGAACGGGGAGAAGAAAAAAACAUGACAAGCUUCGUACCUUGUACAAGUUGACCGAAACGACAUCACCGGAAGUUACAACUUUCAAAGAAGUCAUUUAUGAUUUAAAGAUUUGUGAAUGGAAAUCAAUAACAUCGGAAUGAAAAAGGACUACGGGGUAACGGAUGACACUCUGAGAUUGAGAACCCAAAAGGUACAUGCUGUGCAAGAAAGAUGUAAACAUGCGAAUUCCUAAUUGUACUAAAUAUUAAAACAUCAACUGCAAUCUUCAGUGGUGACAUCCAAAAGUUGAUAUGCCAUUGGUACUUCGUGAUACGACCGUGACAUUGGAAAAUCCUUUUAACUUAUCAUCACUUGAGCCUGAAUUGCAAUCCUUUUGAUACAGACAUUUUUUUAAGUUCAUUACAUGCAGUUUCGAACAUUAAUGCCACUGUGUCAUCUCUGGAAAUGGAAAAGCCUACCACAGAAUCUGAUGAAUUUUUGAACAUUCUUUCACAAAAAGGGAUCUUCUUUAUUUUGAAGAAGGUAGCCCAGGAACUGGAAAUCUGUUAUCAAAAUGAUCUUAAUAAUACACUGGACAAUAUUCUAACCUAAAAAAAAACAUGACAAACCCGAUUGAACUCCUGUGAUGAAGCAUCUCAAAACUCAAAUUAUGGUAGUCUUUCAAGUGACAUUGAGGAUUUCAAUAGCGCAUUUGACAGUAAAGUGAUUUUUAUUCAAGUUCAGAUUGUUGUCAUUAUAAAUUUAUAAGAAGUGUUCUCAUAGCCAACAUUUUUCAAGUCUACUUUUGAUGAAAUAUAGUCUUUUCUAUUACAACUUAUUAUGACAUGAUUGUUGUUGUAUACAUAAAUGUUCUUAUCCACGAAUCAUUCACUGUUCUUAUAGGUUUUUUUUAGCCUGAACUAUGUAGGAAUGACAUGUCAAGGUAAUCCAGAAAAUGUAAAAUCUUUUCUUUGAUAUGACAAGGAUUUAAUUUUGUAACAAUUAAUAUCUAAAAGUCCUGUAACCCUCAUUAAAGUCCUUUAUAAUCUGA